rnacentral:lncRNA from 1 species
GCGUUUUCAGGGGAAUGAAUUGGAAGUAACCAUUAUGAUGGUGGUAGAAGCAUUAUGUGAACUUCAUUGUCCUGAAGCUAUACAGGGAAUUGCUGUCUGGUCAUCAUCUAUUGUUGGAAAAAAUCUUCUGUGGAUUAACUCAGUGGCUCAACAGGCUGAAGGGAGCAUUGAAGCUUGCUAUAAAUCACUUCACCAGGAGGCGUCUUCAGUUUGUUCUUUAGUUAGCAGCAAUACUUGAGUGCCUUUCUUACUGAAGAAUUAGUGGCAAAUCACACUGUAAAACAAGACCUGUCAGUUAUUUUAUAAAUGCUUUUGAACUUGAUCCCUAGUUGAGCUCCUUCCCCCUCAGAGUCUGAUACAAAUUACCCUUUAUUGUCAGAGUAUUUGCUCAUUAGUCCUGUGAACUCUACAUUCAGACUCAUUGCUUCCUCCAGGUAGAGGAGCUUGUACCAUAAUAUUCUGUGUCCAUUUAUGUUAGUUUAAUGAAAUCUUGCGAAUUUAGGAAAAUAAAAGAACUGCUCAUACUUCCAU